CAGCCGCCGCGGUAAUACCGGCGGCCCGAGUGGCGGCCACUAUUAUUGUGCUUAAAGCGUCCGUAGCCGGGUUGGUUAGUCUCCCGGGAAAUCUGGCCGCCUAACGGUCAGAAUGCCGGAGGAUACUCCCAGCCUAGGGAGCGGGCGAGGCCGAGGGUAUUCCCGGAGUAGGGGUGAAAUCCUAUAAUCCCGGGAGGACCACCUGUGGCGAAGGCGCUCGGCUGGAACGCGUCCGACGGUGAGGGACGAAGGCCAGGGGAGCAAACCGGAUUAGAUACCCGGGUAGUCCUGGCUGUAAACGAUGCGGACUUUGUGUCGGACAAGCUAUGAGCUUGUCCGGUGCCGGAGGGAAACCGUUAAGUCCGCCGCCUGGGGAGUACGGCCGCAAGACUGAAACUUAAAGGAAUUGGCGGG
rnacentral:rRNA from 1 species